GCCGAAAUCAAGGGCCACACUUAACCCACUGAGCCACCCAGGGGAGUGUUCUGGCCCAGAACGUGAACUGUCUCGGAGCGUUCCACGCGAGCUUACGGAGAAUGUGUGUGCUGCCACUGUUGAGUGAAGUGGCCUAGAGUCCACUAGAGACUGGAUUCAGGACUAUGAUGGACGGCCUUAACCGUGUCCUUCGUGAUUCUCUGCCCCCUGCCAGCGGGGUGUUGAAAUGUCCCACCGCAGUAGUGGAUUCAUCUGUUUCUCUCUUGUCGUUGCCUUGACAUCUGUUUUAUCUGAUAUCAACAGAGUGAUGCCAGUCUUAUUUUUAAUCAGCGUUUACAUAAUAUGCCUUUUAUCCAUUAUUUUAUUUUUAGCCUUUCUGUGUGUCCUUAUGAUGUACUUGUGUCUCAUAUAAACAGCAUAUAGCUGUGUUGCGUUCGCUUUUUUAUUCAAAAAAUAAAAUCUUUGUUAACUGGGAUAUUCUGUCCAUUAUCGUUGAAUAAAACUCAUUGAUACGUU